rnacentral:rRNA from 1 species
UCCCCCAGAAGAACCCCGGUUAACUCCGUGCCAGCAGCCGCGGUAAUCCGGAGGGUCCAAGCGUUAAUCGGAAUUACUGGGCGUAAAGCGCACGCAGGCGGUCUGUCAAGUCGGAUGUGAAAUCCCCGGGCUCAACCUGGGAACUGCAUUCGAAACUGGCAGGCUAGAGUCUUGUAGAGGGGGGUAGAAUUCCAGGUGUAGCGGUGAAAUGCGUAGAGAUCUGGAGGAAUACCGGUGGCGAAGGCGGCCCCCUGGACAAAGACUGACGCUCAGGUGCGAAAGCGUGGGGAGCAAACAGGAUUAGAUACCCUGGUAGUCCACGCUGUAAACGAUGUCGAUUUGGAGGUUGUGCCCUUGAGGCGUGGCUUCCGGAGCUAACGCGUUAAAUCGACCGCCUGGGGAGUACGGCCGCAAGGUUAAAACUCAAAUGAAUUGACGGGGGCCCGCACAAGCGGUGGAGCAUGUGGUUUAAUUCGAUGCAACGCGAAGAACCUUACCUGGUCUUGACAUCCACAGAACUUUCCAGAGAUGGAUUGGUGCCUUCGGGAACUGUGAGACAGGUGCUGCAUGGCUGUCGUCAGCUCGUGUUGUGAAAUGUUGGGUUAAGUCCCGCAACGAGCGCAACCCUUAUCCUUUGUUGCCAGCGGUUAGGCCGGGAACUCAAAGGAGACUGCCAGUGAUAAACUGGAGGAAGGUGGGGAUGACGUCAAGUCAUCAUGGCCCUUACGACCAGGGCUACACACGUGCUACAAUGGCAUAUACAAAGAGAAGCGACCUCGCGAGAGCAAGCGGACCUCAUAAAGUAUGUCGUAGUCCGGAUUGGAGUCUGCAACUCGACUCCAUGAAGUCGGAAUCGCUAGUAAUCGUAGAUCAGAAUGCUACGGUGAAUACGUUCCCGGGCCUUGUACACACCGCCCGUCACACCAUGGGAGUGGGUUGCAAAAGAAGUAGGUAGCUUAACCUUCGGGAGGGCGCUACCACUUGUAUCGUU